rnacentral:rRNA from 1 species
UACGUAGGGUGCGAGCGUUGUCCGGAAUUACUGGGCGUAAAGAGCUCGUAGGCGGUUUGUCGCGUCGUCUGUGAAAUUCUGCAACUCAAUUGUAGGCGUGCAGGCGAUACGGGCAGACUUGAGUACUACAGGGGGAGACUGGAAUUCCUGGUGUAGCGGUGAAAUGCGCAGAUAUCAGGAGGAACACCGGUGGCGAAGGCGGGGUCUCUGGGCAACAACUGACGCUGAGGAGCGAAAGCGUGGGGAGCGAACAGG